rnacentral:rRNA from 1 species
UACAGGGGGGGCAAGCGUUGUUCGGAAUUACUGGGCGUAAAGGGCUCGUAGGCGGCCAACUAAGUCCGACGUGAAAUCCCAAAGCUUAACUUUGGAACUGCGUCUGAUACUGGCGGGCUUGAAUUCGGGAGAGGGAUGUGGAAUUCCAGGUGUAGCGGUGAAAUGCGUAGAUAUCUGGAGGAACACCGGUGGCGAAGGCGGCAUCCUGGACCGACAUUGACGCUGAGGCGCGAAAGCCAGGGGAGCAAACGGG